rnacentral:rRNA from 1 species
GUCUGGUGCCAGCAGCCGCGGUAAUUCCAGCUCCAAUAGCGUAUAUUAAAGUUGUUGCAGUUAAAAAGCUCGUAGUUGACCCUUGGGCCUGGUUGGCCGGUCCGCCUCACCGCGUGCACUGGUCCGACCGGGUCUUUCCUUCUGGGGAGCCGCAUGCCCUUCACUGGGUGUGUCGGGGAGCCAGGACUUUUACUUUGAAAAAAUUAGAGUGUUCAAAGCAGGCGUAUGCUCGAAUACAUUAGCAUGGAAUAAUAGAAUAAGACGUGUGGUUUUUAUUUUGUUGGCCUUUUAGGACCGCCGUAAUGAUUAAUAGGGAUAGUCGGGGGCAUCAGUAUUCAAUUGUCAGAGGUGAAAUUCUUGGAUUUAUUGAAGACUAACUACUGCGAAAGCAUUUGCCAAGGAUGUUUUCAUUAAUCAGUGAACGAAAGUUAGGGGAUCGAAGACGAUCAGAUACCGUCGUAGUCUUAACCAUAAACUAUGCCGACUAGGGAUCGGGUGAUGUUAUCUUAUGACUCGCUCGGCACCUCACGAGAAAUCAAAGU